UACGUAGGAUGCAAGCGUUGACAGGAUUUAUUGGGUUUAAAGGGUGCGUAGGCGGCCUAUUAAGUUAGUGGUGAAAACGUUCGGCUUAACCGGAUACCCGCCAUUGAUACUGAUAGACUUGAGUGCGACAGAGGGUGUUGGAAUGUGUGGUGUAGCGGUGAAAUGCUUAGAUAUCACGCAGAACACCAAUUGCGAAGGCAGAUGCCUAUGUCGUAACUGACGCUGAGGCAGGAAAGCGUGGGGAGCAAACAGG
rnacentral:rRNA from 1 species